UAGAUACCCUGGUAGUCCACGCCGUAAACGAUGAUAACUAGCUGUCAGGGUUCUUAGAACUUUGGUGGCGCAGCUAACGCAUUAAGUUAUCCGCCUGGGGAGUACGGUCGCAAGAUUAAAACUCAAAGGAAUUGACGGGGGCCUGCACAAGCGGUGGAGCAUGUGGUUUAAUUCGAAGCAACGCGCAGAACCUUACCAGCGUUUGACAUGGCUAGUAUGUUUUCCAGAGAUGGAUUACUUCAGUUCGGCU
rnacentral:rRNA from 1 species